GGAAUAUUGCACAAUGGGGGAAACCCUGAUGCAGCGACGCCGCGUGAGUGAAGAAGCGUUUCGGCGCGUAAAGCUCUGUCAGCAGGAAAGAAAAUGACGGUACCUGACCAAGAAGCCCCGGCUAACUACGUGCCAGCAGCCGCGGUAAUACGUAGGGGGCAAGCGUUAUCCGGAUUUACUGGGUGUAAAGGGAGCGUAGACGGCGCGGCAAGUCCGAAGUGAAAGGCGGGGGCCCAACCCCCGGACUGCUUUGGAAACUGUCAUGCUUGAGUGCGGGAGGGGCAGGCGGAAUUCCUAGUGUAGCGGUGAAAUGCGUAGAUAUUAGGAGGAACACCGGCGGCGAAGGCGGCCUGCUGGACCGUAACUGACGUUGAGGCUCGAAGGCGUGGGGAGCAAACA
rnacentral:rRNA from 1 species